GGGCUCCCGUGAUGGCCAGCACUGGGCUCUGACCACCCCUGAAGACGCAGUGCGCCCCGGGACCUUUGACACCCGGGGGUCUGAGGAGUCU